GGAAAAGGAAGAUGAAGAAAUUAACCACAAGAGAAAAAAACCCUGGAAGAUAUGUGGACCACAACUACAUUAAGAAAGCUGAACCUGGUAUGAUUGAAACCCAUUCAAGGAUGUUAAAGAAAACAGGUCUUGCAGGAAUAACUGAGAUCAUGGGGAGCACCAGAAGAGGCCACAUGAAAGGUCAUGUGGAAGAUUAAAACAGUGCCAAGAGGAGUACUGGCAGCCUCUCUUCUUAUUCCUGCUGUGUUGAAUUCCCGUUUGGUGAGAAAUAAAAUCUUACUACUGUGUACAAGGA